rnacentral:rRNA from 1 species
UACGUAGGGGGCAAGCGUUGUCCGGAAUCAUUGGGCGUAAAGCGCGUGUAGGCGGCUUACCAAGUCAGGCGUGAAAUUCCCGGGCUCAACCUGGGGGCUGCGCUUGAUACUGGUGAGCUUGAAUGUGGGAGAGGGUAGUGGAAUUCCAGGUGUAGUGGUGAAAUACGUAGAUAUCUGGAGGAACACCGGUGGCGAAGGCGGCUACCUGGCCCGGUACUGACGCUGAGGUGCGAAAGCGUGGGGAGCAAACAGG